CCUACGGGAGGCAGCAGUAAGGAAUAUUGGUCAAUGGACGAAAGUCUGAACCAGCCAUGCCGCGUGAAGGAUGAAGGCCCUCUGGGUUGUAAACUUCUUUUAUCUGGGACGAAAAAAGCUCAUUCUUGAGCACUUGACGGUACCAGAGGAAUAAGCACCGGCUAACUCCGUGCCAGCAGCCGCGGUAAUACGGAGGGUGCAAGCGUUAUCCGGAUUCACUGGGUUUAAAGGGUGCGUAGGUGGGUCUGUAAGUCAGUGGUGAAAUCUCCGAGCUUAACUCGGAAACUGCCAUUGAUACUAUAGGUCUUGAAUCAUCUGGAGGUAAGCGGAAUAUGUCAUGUAGCGGUGAAAUGCUUAGAUAUGACAUAGAACACCAAUUGCGAAGGCAGCUUACUACGGGUGUAUUGACACUGAGGCACGAAAAGCGUGGGGAUCAAACAGGAUUAGAUACCCUGGUAGUCCACGCCCUAAACGAUGGAUACUCGACAUCAGCGAUACACUGUUGGUGUCUGAGCGAAAAGCAUUAAGUAUCCCACCUGGGAAGUACGACCCGCAAAGGUUGAAACUCAAAAUGAAUUGACGGNUGAGAGNGCGAGGAGACACGAGGGAGAGG
rnacentral:rRNA from 1 species